UCCUCUCUAUCCUCUCCCUUUUCUCCAUAGCAAACUCUGACGAACUCCAACUACUUCUAACCAUCAAAAUCGCCUUUCAAAACUCUAACACGGACAUAUUCAAUUCUUGGGAAUCGAAUAAGUCUGUAUGUAACUUUAAAGGAAUCACCUGCAACGAGGUGAGCUCGGUUAAAAAAAUUGAGCUCACCAACCAACAUCUCAGCGGCUCAGUUCCUUUCGACUCCAUAUGUCAGCUCAAAUCAUUGGAAAAGCUCUCGUUAGGGGCCAACACAUUAGUUGGCUCUGUUACCGAGGAUCUAAAUAACUGUACUCAGUUACGAUAUUUGGACCUCGGU
rnacentral:lncRNA from 1 species